rnacentral:rRNA from 1 species
UACGAAGGGGGCGAGCGUUGUUCGGAAUUACUGGGCGUAAAGGGCGCGUAGGCGGCCUGUUGAGUUGGAAGUGAAAGCCCCGGGCUCAACCUGGGAACCGCUUUCGAUACUGGCAGGCUCGAGUUCCGGAGAGGAUGGUGGAAUUCCCAGUGUAGAGGUGAAAUUCGUAGAUAUUGGGAAGAACACCGGUGGCGAAGGCGGCCAUCUGGACGGACACUGACGCUGAGGCGCGAAAGCGUGGGGAGCAAACAGGAUUAGAAACCCCAGUAGUCC